ACUCCUACGGGAGGCAGCAGUAGGGAAUCUUCCACAAUGGGCGCAAGCCUGAUGGAGCAACACCGCGUGAGUGAAGAAGGGUUUCGGCUCGUAAAGCUCUGUUGUUAAAGAAGAACACGUAUGAGAGUAACUGUUCAUACGUUGACGGUAUUUAACCAGAAAGUCACGGCUAACUACGUGCCAGCAGCCGCGGUAAUACGUAGGUGGCAAGCGUUAUCCGGAUUUAUUGGGGCGUAAAGAGAGUGCAGGCGGUUUUCUAAGUCUGAUGUGAAAGCCUUCGGCUUAACCGGAGAAGUGCAUCGGAAACUGGAUAACUUGAGUGCAGAAGAGGGUAGUGGAACUCCAUGUGUAGCGGUGGAAUGCGUAGAUAUAUGGAAGAAC
rnacentral:rRNA from 1 species